CCCGCUGAACUUAAGCAUAUCAAUAAGCGGAGGAAAAGAAACUAACAAGGAUUCCCCUAGUAACUGCGAGUGAAGCGGGAAAAGCUCAAAUUUAAAAUCUGGCGGUCUUGCGGCCGUCCGAGUUGUAGUCUGGAGAAGUGUUUUCCGUGUUGGACCGUGUACAAGUCCCUUGGAACAGGGCGUCAUAGAGGGUGAGAAUCCCGUCUUUUACACGGACUACCAAUGCUUUGUGAUGCGCUCUCAAAGAGUCGAGUUGUUUGGGAAUGCAGCUCAAAAUGGGUGGUAAAUUCCAUCUAAAGCUAAAUAUAGGCGAGAGACCGAUAGCGAACAAGUACCGUGAGGGAAAGAUGAAAAGCACUUUGGAAAGAGAGUUAAACAGUACGUGAAAUUGCUGAAAGGGAAACGCUUGAAGUCAGUCAUGUCUGCCAGGACUCAGCCUUGCUUCUGCUUGGUGUACUUUCUGGUUUGAUGGGCCAACAUCAAUUUUGACCGUUGGAGAAAGGCUUUGGGAACGUGGCACCUUUUGGUGUGUUAUAGCCCUUUGUUGUAUACGACGGUUGGGAUUGAGGACCGCAGCACGCCUUUAUGGCCGGGGUUCGCCCACGUACGUGCUUAGGAUGUUGGCAUAAUGGCUUUAAGCGACCCGUCUUGAAACACGG
rnacentral:rRNA from 1 species